AGUCGAACGGGGUAGCAAUACCCAGUGGCAGACGGGUGAGUAACAUGUGGGUACCUUCCCUUUGGUGAGGAAUAACACGAGGAAACUUGUGCUAAUACCUCAUAAGUCUUUACGGAGAAAGCUUUAUGCGCCAAUGGAUGGGCCCGCACUUGAUUAGUUUGUUGGUGAGGUAAUGGCUCACCAAGACUUUGAUCAAUAGCUGAUUUGAGAGGAUGAUCAGCCACAUUGGGACUGAGACACGGCCCAAACUCCUACGGGAGGCAGCAGUAGGGAAUCUUGCACAAUGGAGGAAACUCUGAUGCAGCGAUGCCGCGUGAGUGAAGAAGGCCUUUGGGUUGUAAAGCUCUUUCGUCGGGGAAGAAAAUGACUGUACCCGAAUAAGAAGGUCCGGCUAACUUCGUGCCAGCAGCCGCGGUAAUACGAAGGGACCUAGCGUAGUUCGGAAUUACUGGGCUUAAAGAGUUCGUAGGUGGUUAAAAAAGUUGGUGGUGAAAUCCCAGAGCUUAACUCUGGAACUGCCAUCAAAACUUUUUAGCUAGAGUAUGAUAGAGGAAAGCAGAAUUUCUAGUGUAGAGGUGAAAUUCGUAGAUAUUAGAAAGAAUACCAAUUGCGAAGGCAGCUUUCUGGAUCAUUACUGACACUGAGGAACGAAAGCAUGGGUAGCGAAGAGGAUUAGAUACCCUCGUAGUCCAUGCCGUAAACGAUGUGUGUUAGAUGUUGGAAAUUUAUUUUCAGUAUCGCAGCGAAAGCGUUAAACACACCGCCUGGGGAGUACGACCGCAAGGUUAAAACUCAAAUGAAUUGACGGGGACCCGCACAAGUAGUGGAGCAUGUGGUUUAAUUCGAAGAUACGCGCAGAACCUUACCAACACUUGACAUGUCUGUCGCGACUUUAAGAGAUUAAAGUCUUCGGUUCGGCCGGACAAAACACAGUGCUGCAUGGCUGUCGUCAGCUCGUGUC
rnacentral:rRNA from 1 species